ACCUGACUGGCUCAGUUGGUAGAGCAUAGGACUAUUGAUCUUGGGGUUGUGGGUUCAGGCCCCACAUCGGGCA